GAAGAGGAAGAGGAGGAGGACUGAGGGGUCCUGGGUGCUCUCUCUGCUUGGUGGUUUCCUUGCAGGCGUCUCAUGACCCAAAUAGGUCAUAUCAUCAUUGCUGGAAGGGAGUGGGGUUUGAAGAGAGGAAGAGGAGGAGGAGGGCGGUUGUGGCGGGCUCCUUCCCUGAGCUUAGUUCUUUUCUUACGGACAUUUCAUUACCCAACUAGGUAACAUCAUCAGUGCUAGAAGGGUGGGGUUUGUGGAGAGGAGGAGGA